rnacentral:rRNA from 1 species
UACGGAGGGUGCGAGCGUUGUCCGGAAUCACUGGGCGUAAAGGGCGCGUAGGCGGCCUGAUAAGUAGGGGGUGAAAUCCUGCGGCUUAACCGCAGGGCUGCCUUCUAAACUGUCAGGCUGGAGCACAGUAGAGGCAGGUGGAAUUCCCGGUGUAGCGGUGGAAUGCGUAGAGAUCCGGAAGAACACCAGUGGCGAAGGCGGCCCGCUGGGCAGUGGCUGACGCUGAGGCGCGACAGCGUGGGGAGCAAACAGG